rnacentral:lncRNA from 1 species
AAGAGAGAGAAUGGGCCCUUUUUUCCUUUUCCUGCUGCCAUGACUGGAAGAGAUGCCUGGUGUUGCUGCAGUCAUCUUAACACCAGCCUGAGGAAAAAGCCAGUACAUGCAGGAGGACAGGGUUCUGUGGAAAUCCUUUCUCCUUGGUACCCGGCGCAAGCCAAAAGCAUGCAGAACUCAAUUAAUCUUGGAGCAGCAUGGGGUGUUUGAAACUGCUCACAGUUUGAAAAGAAGCAAAUAGCAAAGACAUUUAAACUGUCCAUAUUUCACUGUGUAAAUUCAGAAGCACUUAAUCAUCCCCUACGCUUUCUUUUGUUGCCUUUCUUCCUCUGUCAUGUUAUAACUGUGUUUCGAGCCUCCCCCAUUUCUUUCCCCAAACUUGUACACUGAAGCACAAACCAAAAAGAGUGGGGCUUCUAAUAAAUUGAUUCUCAGUCUUCUUGGAUAAACAGACAAUGAAUAGAAACUAUGUGCAGCAUAUAGAUAUGAUAUUCCAGCCAAAGUGAUACCUGUAUCUAAUUGCAUAAAUUAUGAAUUGAAUGCCAUCACUUACCAAGCAACGCCUAGGUUAGAGUUCUAUUUCCAGUCCCAGAUUUCCAGAUUGACCUCAGGAGGAAAAGCUAUGAAGUUUGUUUGACUCAGUUAAAUUCUCUACAAACAAAGGCUGCCAUUUUUUAUAAUUGAAUGCUUUAGUUAAUUCAACAGACAUUCAUUGAGUACUUACUCUGUUUCAGGCGCUAAGGAUAAAAAUAUGAAUCAGUUAUAUUUCUUCCCCUUGUGGAGCUCACAGUAUAGUGAUAGAAGUGAACUGUUGUUUGCCUAGGAGAAUAAAGGAAGGGGAAAGAGCAGUCUGAGGCAUGAAUGCACUAGGAGUAUGAUGUGUUAGUGGAUAGUAAGUAACAAAGGAAGGCUAGAUAUUGGCUGCCUAGGAGAAGAGCCUGAGUGUAGAGAUUGAUGUUGGAAAGGGAAGUUGAAAUGAGAUUGUGGGGAGCGUUACAUACCUUUCUAAAUGCAUUGGGGAGCCACCAGACGUUUUUGCUCAGGGAACUGACGUGACUUGUGUCAAGACUUUGAGCCUAAGGCCAUUACUGAAAAACACUUGUGAGUUCUGGAAUGGGUCUGAGCAGAUUUUACGUGUGGGAGGGACACGAACAGAUGCAUCCACGAAAGCUGAGUGCAAUGUAUUUAUUUCAUUAAUGGCCCCAGUUCUUCACCCCUCCCUGGAUCCACACCCUGUUCACAAUGACAUUUUGCAGCGUCCUCCCUCCGUGGGCAGGGCUCCUUCCUGCUGGGUUUGGCUGCAUGAUUUAUUGAGACAUUGUCACUUCUGGCUCUUCCUAAAACAAAGUCUCCAACCCGGUCGCCUCCUUCCUUUUGCACACUGAAAACUGCAUGUGGAUAUCAAAGUGUGGUCAGUGCCCAAGCUCCUCUGGCUCCGGAGGGAAGGGCAAAGUGCUCUG